GUCAACAAAGGGAUGCAAAGCCGCGAGGCAGAGCGAACCCCAAAAAGCCGUCCCAGUUCGGAUCGCAGGCUGCAACCCGCCUGCGUGAAGUCGGAAUCGCUAGUAAUCGCGGAUCAGCAUGCCGCGGUGAAUACGUUCCCGGGCCUUGUACACACCGCCCGUCACACCAUGGGAGUCGGGAACACCCGAAGUCCGUAGCCUAACCGCAAGGAGGGCGCGGCCGAAGGUGGGUUCGAUAAUUGGGGUGAAGUCGUAACAAGGUAGC
rnacentral:rRNA from 1 species